rnacentral:rRNA from 1 species
CUCGGAGUUUGAUCCUGGCUCAGAUUGAACGCUAGCGGCAGGCUUAACACAUGCAAGUCGAGGGGUAUAGUUCUUCGGAGCUAGAGACCGGCGCACGGGUGCGUAACGCGUAUGCAAUCUACCUUUUACAGAGGGAUAUCCCAGAGAAAUUUGGAUUAAUACCUCAUAGUAUGUGAGAAUCGCAUGGUUUUCACAUUAAAGUUCCAGCGGUAAAAGAUGAGCAUGCGUCCCAUUAGCUAGAUGGUAAGGUAACGGCUUACCAAGGCUACGAUGGGUAGGGGUCCUGAGAGGGAGAUCCCCCACACUGGUACUGAGACACGGACCAGACUCCUACGGGGAGCAGCAGUGGGGAAUUUUGGACAAUGGACGCAAGUCUGAUCCCAGCCCAUUCCGCGUGCAGGAU